UGGCGCCGGGAUCCACUGACACCAGGAGCCACUGACACCAGAUCCCACUGAUCGUACCCAUGGCCAUGUACCAGCAGGCAGCUGUCUCCAAGCAGCAGGACAACACCUUCUCCAGCGGGGUCAUGGAGGAGUCUGAGGUCUGCUCUGUGCCUGGGGGGCUCGCCAGCGUCAGGGCACAAUUCGAGAACCAGGAAACUGCAACAUCGCACAAUGUCUCCCAGUUCCACUUCCACCGCAGAGCUGUGCAGGAAGUGCAAUUGAACUCUGAGGUGACAAUGAGGAGCAGUUCCAGAGAAGUCAUCCCAGCCUCGCAGCAGGCUAUUUUCCACCAGGAUGAACAGGUCACACAUGAAGUAAACAACUUUACCUCCGUUUAUGACAACAACCAUAAUGAUGAAAGAGAGGAGGAAGGUCCUAGACUUACA
rnacentral:lncRNA from 1 species